UACGUAGGUGGCAAGCGUUGUCCGGAAUUACUGGGUGUAAAGCGCGUGUAGGCGGGAGGCCAAGUCUGCUGUGAAAUCGCUCGGCUCAACUGGGCGGGGUCGGUGGAAACUGGUCACCUGGAGGACGGUAGAGGCGAGUGGAAUUCCCGGUGUAGUGGUGAAAUGCGUAGAGAUCCGGAGGAACACCAGCGGCGAAGGCGGCGUCCUGGACUGGUACUGACGCUCAGGAGCGAAAGCGUGGGAGCGAGCGG
rnacentral:rRNA from 1 species